CGCUGGCGGCGUGCCUAAUACAUGCAAGUCGAACGGUCUUUUCUAUGGAAGCUUGCUUCCACUGAGAAGAUAGUGGCGAACGGGUGAGUAACACGUGGGUAACCUGCCCAUAAGAGGGGGAUAACAUCCGGAAACGGGUGCUAAUACCGCAUAGUUUUUCUUGAUCGCAUGAUUGAGAAAGGAAAGACGGCCUUUGUGCUGUCGCUUAUGGAUGGACCCGCGGCGUAUUAGUUAGUUGGUGAGGUAACGGCUCACCAAGACGAUGAUACGUAGCCGACCUGAGAGGGUGAUCGGCCACAUUGGGACUGAGACACGGCCCAAACUCCUACGGGAGGCAGCAGUAGGGAAUCUUCCGCAAUGGACGAAAGUCUGACGGAGCAACGCCGCGUGAGUGAAGAAAAGGUUUUCGGAUCGUAAAACUCUGUUGUCAGAGAAGAACAAGUUGGAGAGUAACUGCUCCAGCCUUGACGGUAUCUGACCAGAAAGCCACGGCUAACUACGUGCCAGCCGCAGC
rnacentral:rRNA from 1 species